rnacentral:rRNA from 1 species
UAGGGAAUCUUCGGCAAUGGGGGGAACCCUGACCGAGCAACGCCGCGUGAGUGAAGAAGGUUUUCGGAUCGUAAAGCUCUGUUGUUAAGGAAGAACGAGUGUGAGAAUGGAAAGUUCAUACUGUGACGGUACUUAACCAGAAAGGGACGGCUAACUACGUGCCAGCAGCCGCGGUAAUACGUAGGUCCCGAGCGUUGUCCGGAUUUAUUGGGCGUAAAGCGAGCGCAGGCGGUUAGAAAAGUCUGAAGUGAAAGGCAGUGGCUCAACCAUUGUAGGCUUUGGAAACUGUUUAACUUGAGUGCAGAAGGGGAGAGUGGAAUUCCAUGUGUAGCGGUGAAAUGCGUAGGUAUAUGGAGGAACACCGGUGGCGAAAGCGGCUCUCUGGUCUGUAACUGACGCUGAGGCUCGAAAGCGUGGGGAGCGAACAGG